ensembl:lncRNA
CUGUGUCCACUUCGAAGAACCUGCCUCAGUCCAAUUCAGAGAAUCACAGAAUCAUUAAGGAUGGAAAAGACUACUAAGAUCAUCUAGUCCGACCAUCAACCAGUCAUCACCAUGCCCACUAACCACGUCCCUCAGCCACAUCCACCCUUUUCUUAAAUACCUCCAGGGACAGUGACUUCACCACCUCCCUGUGCCAAUGCACUGCCUCUCUUUCUGAGAAGAAAUUUUUCUUAAUAUCCAACCUGAGAUUUACUGCUCAACUAAGCAUCUCCCAGUCUCAAAAGGAUUAACUCCCCUCAGCUCCUGUAAGACAGGACAAUGUCUUUAUCUCCAGUGCACAAACAAGUGGCUGAGGUGCAGAGCCAGAGAUUUACCCAGGGCCACUUGAAAGGUGAUGGCAGAACAAAGAGCUGAACCAGAGACCUUCUGAACUUCUAAAGCAUCUUUCCUGCCUGACUGCCCAGUCACACAAAGCCCAGAGGACAAAAACUUAAAAACGAAACAACAAACCCAACCAUCUCCCUGUGCCUGUGCUGCCACCUCCCUCUCUCUCCUCUGCCUGCGGCAGGCAGCUCGGGCUGUGAGGACCCCGUGCCGAGACUGAGGAAGCAACUGUAUAUACGGAUGGGAGACAAGCUGGGUGCUCAUCAGGAGGAAACAGCUUUCAGUGGCUUCCAGAUGGGGCCCUUUCCCACCUGUACACCCUAGGACGCUGAAAACUACUGCAAGCCAGGAGGCCUCACACAGGAACUCAACAACCCUAGCAAGAAUAUAAUUGCCUUCAGAGCUAGCAGUACCGGCAUGAGAGACUGCCUUCAGUAGGAACAGACUUUCCACCAUCUCACGCCUCACCCAGGUGCAUGACUUCGUUUGCAAAGGCCCAAGGGAGUGAAACAGCUCUGUAAGGCCUUAGGAGAAGGGAAAUUGCUAUCAGACUCCUGUUGAUUCCACAGCCCACCAAGGACGCUGCUGGCUUCUACAGGCCAUCCCCCAUCUGUUGGAAUAGCGGGAAGUUUUGCUUUAGCAAUAAAAAAUAAAAAAUGCUGGAGUCCAACUGGUGACUGAAGUCUGGUGCCAGGCUCUGCUGCAGAGACAUCACAGCUGCCUACAGUGCCUGCUCUGAAAGAGGUGCUCAUUAAACAUUUGCCUUGGGUUUAUUUUCCCUGUUUGCUGUACCCAAGCAUUCACAACAAAAAUUCCAUAAGGGAGAGCUGCA